rnacentral:rRNA from 1 species
UACGAAGGGGGCUAGCGUUGUCCGGAAUUACUGGGCGUAAAGCGCGCGUAGGCGGUUACGCAAGUCGGGCGUGAAAGCCCGGGGCUCAACCCCGGAACUGCGUCCGAGACUGCGUGACUUGAGACCGGAAGAGGAGAGCGGAAUUCCCAGUGUAGAGGUGAAAUUCGUAGAUAUUGGGAAGAACACCAGUGGCGAAGGCGGCUCACUGGCCCGAUACUGACGCUGAGGUGCGAAAGCGUGGGGAGCAAACAGG